GGGGACGUAUAGAUUCGACGGACCAAGCACUUUAAAAACUGCAAGCCGUUUAGGAAACAUUAAACGUAAAAUAUUGUUUCAAAAACCAAAUGGCAUGAAAUUAUUUGCCAUGCCGCAAAGACAGUUGGCUUACGCCUAAGUCUUGAAGGCAUCUUAGGAGUAUCUUUUUCUGGCUAGAUUCCUAAGGUCCACUUAGUCAGAAUGCCCUAAUUUAGGUUUGAUUUUUGUAAGUUAGGAAAGAUCACAAAGAUCGGUGUUGGUCAACAGCUGGUAGGUUACAGCCAACACUAAAAUGCUACUAGCUAAGCUUGUAGAAGUUUUUAUUUUGUCAGUUCACACAGGGCUCACAGCCCUCGUCUCCACCA
rnacentral:tmRNA from 1 species